rnacentral:rRNA from 1 species
CCUACGGGAGGCAGCAGUGAGGAAUAUUGGUCAAUGGCCGUGAGGCUGAACCAGCCAAGUCGCGUGAAGGAAGAAGGCCCUAUGGGUUGUAAACUUCUUUUAUAGAGGAAUAAAGUGAGGCACGUGUGGAUAUUUGCAUGUACCCUAUGAAUAAGCAUCGGCUAACUCCGUGCCAGCAGCCGCGGUAAUACGGAGGAUGCGAGCGUUAUCCGGAUUUAUUGGGUUUAAAGGGUGCGUAGGUUGGUUUUUAAGUCAGCGGUGAAAGUUUGUGGCUCAACCAUAAAAUUGCCUUUGAUACUGGCAGCCUUGAGUGUGUUUGAGGUAGGCGGAAUGCGUGGUGUAGCGGUGAAAUGCUUAGAUAUCACGCAGAACUCCGAUUGCGAAGGCAGCUUACUAAGCC